rnacentral:rRNA from 1 species
UACGUAGGGUGCGAGCGUUAAUCGGAAUUACUGGGCGUAAAGGGUGUGCAGGCGGCUGAGUAAGACAGAUGUGAAAUCCCCGGGCUUAACCUGGGAACCGCAUAUGUGACUGCUUGGCUAGAGUGCGUCAGAGGGAGGUGGAAUUCCACGUGUAGCAGUGAAAUGCGUAGAUAUGUGGAAGAACACCGAUGGCGAAGGCAUCUCACGAAUCCGCGAUUGACGCUGAUGCACGAAAGCGUGGGUAUCAAACAGG